GUUUACUUGAAAAAAUAAGUAAUUUGACCUGCCCACUGAUGUUUUAAAGGGCCGCGGUAUCUGAACCGUGCUAAGGUAGCAUAAUCAAUAGUCUUUUAAUUGAAGUCUAGAAUGAAUGGUUUGACGAGAAAUUAACUGUUUCAAGCGUAUAAUUGAAUUUUACUUUUGAGUGAAAAGGCUCAAAUAAAGUAGUGGGACGAUAAGACCCUAUGAAGCUUAUACAUCUUUGUUUUGCUGGGGCGGCAGGGAUAAAUAAUUAACUGUCCAUUAAUUAAAAAUAAUUUUACUUAGUAAGUUGAUCUUCUAAUAGGGAUUAUAAAAUUAAAGUUACUCUAGGGAUAACAGCGUAAUUCUUUUUGAGAGUUCUUAUCGACAAAAGUAGUUGCGACCUCGAUGUUGAAUUAAAAUUUCUCCAAGGUGUAGCAGUUUUGGUAGUAGGUCUGUUCGACCUUUAAAAUUUUACAUGAUUUGAGUUCAGACCGGCGUGAGCCAG
rnacentral:rRNA from 1 species